AACGAACGCUGGCGGCAUGCCUAACACAUGCAAGUCGAACGGUGCUUCCGUGCGUAGUGGCUCACAGGGGCGUCGCGCGUGGGAAUGUGGCCUAGGAUACCGAAUCACAGUGAUAAGUUGCUGCUAAUGUCGGAUGAUGUCUGCGGACACCAGAUUCGUCGCCCGGGGGUGAGCACGCGUAGGCUUAGCUAGUGGGGGGGGUAAUGGCCUACGAAGGCUUGGAUACUUAGCGGGUCUGAGAGCCUGAGCAGCCACACUGGGUCUGAGACCCGGCCCAGACUCCUACGGGAGGCAGCAGUGGGGAAUAUUGGACAAUGGGGGCAAGCCUGAUCCAGCAAUGCCGCGUGAGUGAUGAAGGCCUUAGGGUUGUAAAGCUCUUUUACCCGGGAUGAUAAUGACAGUACCGGGAGAAUAAGCUCCGGCUAACUCCGUG
rnacentral:rRNA from 1 species